AUGGGCACUUGCGGCAACGGAUGACAGGUCUGCUGGUGUCUGGCUAGACGCCAGAACAGCGCAGUUCUGAGGCCGCAGGUCCUGC